CGCUCAGCAGCUUGCUCUCGACAUGCAGCUCGCAUAUCUCAUCCUCACCGUCUUCCUGGGACAGCUCCUGGGCACCACAGGGCAGGACACGGUCACCCAGGAAGAUGGACCAGUCUUGGUGAAGCAGGGACACCCCUUCUACACCACCUGCAAAUACCACACCAGUACUUUUAAUGCCUUGCUGUGGUACCAGCUGAGGAAAGGCCAAGCCCCAGAGCUGAUCUCCUAUCAAGCAGGGUCUGGCCCCAAGCGCAGCGGCCGUUUCACCACACAGCUGAACACCACGGGCAAAUCCAGCGUCCUGCAGCUGGAGGAAGUGGAGCUCUCUGACUCUGCCUUGUACCUCUGUGCUGUGCAAGACACCCUGGUGCAGGGAGCUUCCUCAGCUGUGCAACAACCCAGUGCAGGGAGG